UUUGAUCGAUCCCAGCCACAGCGGGCGCUCCGCCGGGCGGUCCUGCCCGUACGUCGCGAGCAGCGCCUGCGCCUC
rfam:Mycobacterium sp. MOTT36Y, complete genome.